GAUGAACGCUGACAGAAUGCUUAACACAUGCAAGUCAACUUGAAUUUGGGUUUUUAACUUAGGUUUGGGUGGCGGACGGGUGAGUAACGCGUAAAGAACUUGCCUCACAGCUAGGGACAACAUUUGGAAACGAAUGCUAAUACCUAAUAUUAUGAUAAUAGGGCAUCCUAUAAUUAUGAAAGCUAAAAGCGCUGUGAGAGAGCUUUGCGUCCCAUUAGCUAGUUGGAGAGGUAACGGCUCACCAAGGCGAUGAUGGGUAGCCGGCCUGGGAGGGUGAUCGGCCACAAGGGGACUGAGACACGGCCCUUACUCCUACGGGAGGCAGCAGUGGGGAAUAUUGGACAAUGGACCGAGAGUCUGAUCCAGCAAUUCUGUGUGCACGAUGAAGUUUUUCGGAAUGUAAAGUGCUUUCAGUUGGGAAGAAACAAAUGACGGUACCAACAGAAGAAGUGACGGCUAAAUACGUGCCAGCAGCCGCGGUAAUACGUAUGUCACGAGCGUUAUCCGGAUUUAUUGGGCGUAAAGCGCGUCUAGGUGGUUAUGUAAGUCUGAUGUGAAAAUGCAGGGCUCAACUCUGUAUUGCGUUGGAAACUGUAUAACUAGAGUACUGGAGAGGUAAGCGGAACUACAAGUGUAGAGGUGAAAUUCGUAGAUAUUUGUAGGAAUGCCGAUGGGGAAGCCAGCUUACUGGACAGAUACUGACGCUGAAGCGCGAAAGCGUGGGUAGCAAACAGG
rnacentral:rRNA from 1 species